UACAGAGGAGCCAAACGUUGUCCGGAUUGACUGGGCGUAAAGCGCACGCAGGCGGUUGCGCGCGUGGGGUGUGAAAUCUGGCCGCUUAACGGCCAGGCGCCAUCCCAUACGGCGGAGCUGGAGUGAUGCAGAGGUCGAUGGAAUUGCCGGUGUAGUGGUGAAAUGCGUAGAGAUCGGCAGGAACACCCAGGGGGAAACCAGUCGACUGGGCAUCUACUGACGCUGAGGUGCGAGAGCGUGGGGAGCGAACCGG
rnacentral:rRNA from 1 species